rnacentral:lncRNA from 1 species
UUAUAAAUAGCACUUGGGAGAUGAUGCAGGAGGUGAAUAAAGGCAGUGGUUGGUGAGAAAUAGUCCAAAAUGAGCAUAAUCAGCACUCCUAAUACAGAACCAAACUGAGGGAAGAAAUGCUUGGGCAUUUUGAAAUGUACUACAUUUAAAAAGCAAAGGAAGAAAAAAAAAGAUGUUUGUAAAAAGAUGCACUACAGUUGCAGCUUUGAGGCUGAGCACUGCUGCUUGGUUAGUAUCUGCAGUGUACAGAACAAGUCAGAGGAUGGAAGCAGGUUGACGGCGCUGCCCAAUCUCCUCCGUGCCCGUGCCUGGAAGAGGAGCGAUGUGAUUCACGGGGGAGGGAGGGCGGAGCUGCUCGGCUCCCCCGCUGCUGCAGGUGAUCCGCAGCCGGCUCCCUCUGCAAAGCAAACCUGCGUCCCAGCGCCCCUUACUGGCUACUCGACAGAUAGACUGUGGCUACACAUCCGGCCCCACAGACAGUGUCACACUGCUGGUGUACCACACUGGGCAUGGGGGUGUGCUACAGACGGUGGGCAGCGUUUUCAAAUGGCCACUAGCUGUGGGUGCCCCACUUGGGAACCCCCCCACACACCUGAUUUGCAGAAGUGCUGAAAACCCACAGCUCCAUUUAGGAGCCUCUGAAAAAUUAGGCCCGGCCUGUCUCAAGUUGCACACCCAAAACUGAAGCACACAGAAAUAGUGGCUACUUUAGCAAAAAGUUUUACAUAUAUUUCUGUACAUAUAACAUAUGAACAAAAAAUGGAGGGUGUUUUGUGUGUCUAUGCUAUAGGGGUUGUACGACUAGUGACCACUAUAGUUGAGAGUUUCCAUUCUAACCUCCUGUUUUCAGUUGUUUCAUAACUUUCAGAAACUUUCACCUUUCAGGCUGAUAUUUUUUAGUCUUCCUCUCUGAUUGACAAUGAUUUUUUUAUAAUUAUGAUCAAAAAAUUAUUUAGCCAUUAGAGUAGGAGGAUAGCCAAAGAAAUACAUUUUCCCUAUUGUUCUAAUAUUUUUUUUUAAAUAUUUUAACUUUUUUUAAACAGCUCUAGUUACAAAAUAGCUGUGGCAAAUUGAAGUUGGUCAAGAAGUACCCCUGAUUUAAUCGAUGUGUGUUGUGACUCAGAUGAGUUUUGAAUUUUUGCAAAUCACACUUCAUGCACAUGCACUGAAUUGAAAUGAUUUUUUAAACACACUUUAGACCAAUGAUAAGAAUAUGAUUAGAUUUCCUUACUACAAAUGUUAACCAUAUUGUAACCAGGUCUUUUGUUUUAACUAUAUUGUAAUUGGGGCCAUUGACUAGGGACCCAAUCCUCCAAAUAUACACAUAAACAGCCACAUUGAACUCAAUGGGACUAAUGUUUGUAAAGUUCUUCUCAUGUGUAAAUAUUUCCAGGAUAGGGGCCAUGGGUAGAUUGUGGUACAUAUAGGACCUGCCUUUGUAUCUUUUAAGGUGAGCAGCUAAUGGGGUAAGUGCUACACUUACUGCACAUGUGAUAAGAGCACUAUAAGAAAAAAUGGAAAUUAUAUAAACAGUUCACAAAACCAUCAGAAGGCUGAAAUGUUUUGUAUAAUUUUCAGCAAAACAUCAGGGAAUGUACAAAGUAGCUAAUAG